CUUUACAGUGGUUUGUGAUGUUAAAAUAAGUCCCCGGUAUUUCCAUUAGGUAAGUAGCUAGGUUACAUAUGUUGUGCUUUUCGUGAUAAGGCGAAGAAAGUAGCCUUUAAGAGCUUUAUUUUUUUCUGGAAAUACGAACGCUAUAAUGCGAUUGGAGCCAUAUGGAUCUGCACAAUCGCUCUAACCAGUUCAUGUUGGAUAACGAAGGUACCAGAUGCCACCGUCAUGAGUCAAUCCUUCAUUCUCUGCCUCAUCCAUUCCCAAUCUGGCCAGACAGAGCUGGAAAAGUAAUGGACGUGGAGAACAUGAUACAAGAACAGUUCGAAAAACAAAUGCCUACACACCAAGCAGGACCUGUUAUAGCCCAUCCCUUAGGGAAGAACACACGUCUUUGGGACGUGGAAAAUCUGUGGAAACCCGUUAAUCCAGUCUUCUGCUUGGCCUGUGAUACAGUGUUCAUUGAUAGACAAAGACUCGAAGAGCAUGUGUGUCCUUUCGUCAGCUUCAUUUGUUCAUGUGGUGUUAGUUUUUGUGAUUAUACAGAAAUGUGGGCUCACAGUUCUUCACACAACCAUAAAGCCUCUUAUGUACUGAAUCACAAAAAUGCCAUGGAGAACAGGAUUAUUAGUGUUAAAGAGCAGGAAUCAAAGCUGAAGGUCUUAGAGGAGACUGCAAAGAACAUUGGCAUUGUUAAGGACACUGUUCCUUUUGUCCUUUCACCAGCUCCUAAGCCUAGGUACACAACCGGACAGACUGUAAAACUCUGGUGGCGUUUCAGGCCAAUUGUAAGGCUGGAGACUUUUCAGAGAUUUUACAAUGGAAGGAAGUAUAUGUGUGCAACUUGCCAUGAUGAGAUUGGCAGACAGGACCAGCUGAUUGAGCAUGUUGAUACUCACAGUAAGACCUGUAUAUAUGGCUGCAGCCACUGUGGGAUUCUAUUGAUCAGCAGUGUACCGCCGAAACCUCACCACAGGUGUGGGUCCUUUCAGGCCAGCCCUUCUAAAAGGUUCACCACUGGCCAGGUGCAAAUAGACCCUCUGUCAGCUGAGACCUUGUACAAGCCCUAUACUUGUCAGCAUUGCUCUUUGAAAUUUGGUCAUCCCAUACACCUCAGGAACCAUGUAAAAAUCAACCACAUCAACAUUACCAAAGUAAGAGGUGCAAACGGAGAGCAACAGACUUUGGACAACAUGCCAAAUAGGACCUCACAAAAAGUAAGUCUGGGGUAUGCACAGGUCUCUGUACAGUUGCCCAGACAGCACUGGUGCACAAGAAAGCAGACUUUAUUCAGGCCUGAGACUGUAGUACAGAUGGCCCCCAGUCAAGCUCAGCAAAGAUCAGAUCCAUAUGCGUCGGCGCAUAAUAAAGGGGGCAGUGAAAUGACCCUUCAGUUUCAAGACCUCAGCAACAUUAAGACAUAUGGUAACACAAACCUAUUGACAAUAAAAACUAAGCAGGUAGUAGUAAUUGAUAAGAUAACACAAACAGAAUUUUCCCCUAGUCUAUCUAUGAAAUCUGACCCUGAAUUACAUGACAAUGAAUAUGGAGUGGAAAAGACUACUGAAAUGAAUAGACUUCUGCAAGUCCCAAGUGCAGCCAUCCCAGUGCUAAAAAACUGAACCAACUGCUUUAGUACUAAUAAAAUCAGUAGUUUUACCUGGUCAUUUCUGUAUCUUAAAAUAGUUUCUGGUUUUCCUAAGAAAUUAGAAUAAUUAAUUUAUUUUGUGUUUUUUUUAUCAUUUAGAAAAUUCCUUCCUUCACCUCCGUAACCUGUUUCACUGAAUAAAUAAUUUUACGUGUGUGGACGGUGCUGAUGAAACCAUAAAGCUAAUUCAAUUUGCAACUACAGCCUCCACACUUAAAUAAGUCUGCAGCAUUCGAAAAGAAAAGUACCUUUACUUAUAUAAAUCAAGUGGAAAACAGAACAUGCACUGGCGUGCUAUUUAGGAGACCGUCAAAAAAAAACUACACUACUAACAAUGAGUCAUAUAUACGUCCCUAGCCUCAUUAUGUACACAAGUAACCGCGCAGUGGACUGACUCAGACGGAAACGGAAGUUUGGUAAUAUGCUGUGAGACUGCUGUCUGCAGGAGGCUAGGAAAAGCUAAUGGAUACGAGUAAGCGUUGUUAGCUAAAUAUAUAAUCUUCAGCUAAAAUGACUUGGCUCUUUUAGGAAGUAUUUGUACGGGAGCUAGUCGAGGAUUUUCAUAAGUUGAUAAAAGGCGAUUCCAAGGACCCUCCCGUCAGUGGCGUACCGGAAAGCACAAUCCCUGGUUGUGUGCUGAUUUGCUUGAGAGGAAAACGGUGCCAGAAAAGGAUUUACACUUUGUGCUUGAGGCGGAUAAGCUGAGGCAAUGAAGCAACAUGUUCAUAGCUGCAAGAGUAUA